rnacentral:misc_RNA from 1 species
GAUGAAGAACGUAGCGAAAUGCGAUAAGUAAUGUGAAUUGCAGAAUUCAGUGAAUCAUCGAAUCUUUGAACGCACAUUGCGCCCGCCAGUAUUCUGGCGGGCAUGCCUGUUCGAGCGUCAUUACAACCCUCAGGCCCCCGGGCCUGGCGUUGGGGAUCGGCGGAAGCCCCCUGCGGGCACAACGCCGUCCCCCAAAUACAGUGGCGGUCCCGCCGCAGCUUCCAUUGCGUAGUAGCUAACACCUCGCAACUGGAGAGCGGCGCGGCCACGCCGUAAAACGCCCAACUUCUGAAUGUUGACCUCGAAUCAGGUAGGAAUACCCGCUGAACUUAAGCAUAUCAAUAAGCGGAGGA